rnacentral:rRNA from 1 species
UAAGGAAUAUUGGUCAAUGGACGCAAGUCUGAACCAGCCAUGCCGCGUGAAGGAUGAAGGUCCUCUGGAUUGUAAACUUCUUUUAUCUGGGACGAAAAAAGCUCAUUCUUGAGCACUUGACGGUACCAGAAGAAUAAGCACCGGCUAACUCCGUGCCAGCAGCCGCGGUAAUACGGAGGGUGCAAGCGUUAUCCGGAUUUACUGGGUUUAAAGGGUGCGUAGGUGGAUUUGUAAGUCAGUGGUGAAAUCUCCGAGCUUAACUCGGAAACUGCCAUUGAUACUAUAGGUCUUGAAUAUUCUGGAGGUAAGCGGAAUAUGUCAUGUAGCGGUGAAAUGCUUAGAUAUGACAUAGAACACCGAUUGCGAAGGCAGCUUGCUACAGGAUUAUUGACACUGAGGCUCGAAAGCGUGGGGAUCAAACA